AUGUGCCACGCAUACAUGCCGAUUGCGCUGCACCGACCGCAUCCACCUGACCACGGCACGCAAGGUCUUGUUAGCU
rnacentral:sRNA from 1 species